rnacentral:miRNA from 1 species
GCCAUCGGCAUCUGGCACUGGGGUUCAUGCAUGAAAACUGUGGCCAGCGGGGCCUGGACCUACACCCCCACCUCUGCAGGCACAGUGAAGUCUGCC